AUCGAUUGUAUUCCUAUUUCUGUAGUCCGUAGUCGACGUUUACAAUUCGUAUAUGUGUAGUAGUUUUAUUGGCAUAUUAUUUGCCUGAUUAGUUCUCGGCUAUAAUGCUCAUAAAAAAGCAUGCUCAUGCGUUGAGAGGGACAUACCAGUGAAAAUUUGAAAGGGGAAAUUUCAAGAGUGUUAAGGGAAGGGGAAGUAUCAGAUAAAGUGCACAUUAUUGCUACUGAUAAUGCACACAAUAUUACGAAUGCAAUAAAAUUGACAAAUCUCAAUAAUUUAUCUUGCUUGGCAUAUGUUCUGUACCUCAUUGUAAAAAAUGGGAUAAAAAAAUAGAAAGUAUUCAGGUGAAAGUUAAAGCUAUUGUAGAAUACUUCCAUCGAAGCAAAGUAAGAUCUGAAAAAUUGAAUCUUUUUCAAAAUCAAAUCAAAUCUCUAAAACUUUGAAAUUGAUCAAUGAUGUGAGAACUCGAUGGAACUCAACAUAUGAAAUGUUUGAAAGAAUUCAUGUCAUUCAGAAACCUGUGGUUGCUGAUUACAUAAUCCAAUUGAUCCACCCACUGCUGAGGAAUACGCUUUUUUGAGAGAAUUAUGUUUUCUUCUCAAACCAUUCAGAGAAAUAUCUGUGGAACUGAGUACAGAGAAAAGUGUGACUUCAUAUCAAAAAUUUUUCCCUGUAUUCAUGGAUUGAAAAUAUGUGUGAGAACAGUGCCAAUGUACCUAUAGCUACAGAUUCAAAAAUGCAUUGUUAGAAGAUACUUCGAUAUUGAAAAAAAUAAAAUAUCUAAUGAGAUGGCUGGAAUUAACGAAGAUCUGCCAUCCAGGAAUACGGAGUCUAUUUCAGAUUGAAUGGAUUUUUCUACCAAAAAUAGUAGGUAUAAAAAAACCCAAUAUCAGGUGGCGUUAUAGAAUUUAGAAAGUAUAAUGAAGAACCAACAGUUUGCAGACAAUAAAAUAUUUCAAUGUGGAGGAAGUCGAGAACACUAAUUUAUCCUCAUCUAGCAGAGAAAUAUUUUAGUAUAAUUACCACAUCAGAUCCUAGUGAGAGAGUUUUUUCUAAAACUAGUAAGAUUGUGUCAGAAAAAAGACCCCGUUUGAAAUCGUAUAGAGUGCGAAAAAAUUGAGUUUUCAAAUGGAAAUCAAAGAUUUAUUGAAUCAUGAAUUAUCAUGAUUGAUAUCUACAUAUUUAUAUUUUGAUACA